rnacentral:rRNA from 1 species
CGGGACGGGUGAGUAAUGUCUGGGAAACUGCCUGAUGGAGGGGGAUGACUACUGGAAACGGUAGCUAAUACCGCAUAACGUCGCGAGACCAAAGAGGGGGACCUUAGGGCCUCUUGCCAUCGGAUGUGCCCAGAUGGGAUUAGCUAGUAGGUGGGGUAACGGCUCACCUAGGCGACGAUCCCUAGCUGGUCUGAGAGGAUGACCAGCCACACUGGAACUGAGACACGGUCCAG